ACCUGGCUGGCUCAGUCAGUAGAGCACACGACUCUUGAUCUUGGGGUCAUGGGUUCAAGCCCCAAGGUGGGUA
rnacentral:tRNA from 1 species